UUGAUGAAAACCAAAAGAGAGGUGUAUCACUGUUAAUGAUAAAAUUGAGUUCUAACUCUCAUCAAG
rnacentral:tRNA from 1 species